CAGGAAGUGCUGUGUGCAAUCAUCUGGUGGCCCUUCUUUACCAGACAGCGCACUACUCUCAACUAAACAUUCCUGCUGCACCACCAGUUCACAGCUGCACAGACACAGAACAGCGUUGGCACGAGCCAAGAACACUUCCAGGUCCGGUUGAUGGGAUAGAGUUCCGUAAACUUACUAACUCGUGUGCUGAUGGAAUAAGAAGUUGUCUCUACAAAGCACUCCAUGGAUAUAUGCCUGACAUGGACCUUCUCCACGUCUCAGAAACAUAUGCCAACUUUUCUCCACUUACUUCCCCUCUUGUGAAAACAAUGGAAAUGUCAGCUGAUGUGCCCCUGG